rnacentral:piRNA from 1 species
UGGUGAAUAGUGCAUCAUCAGUCUUUGCUU